GGGCUGGAGAAGGUCCCAAGGGUUUGGCUGUUCGCCAAUUAAAGCGGUACGUGAGCUGGGUUUAGAACGUCGUGAGACAGUUCGGUCCCUAUCUGUCGCGGGCGGAGGAUAUUUGAGAGGCGCUAUCCCUAGUACGAGAGGACCGGGAUGGGCGCAGCGCUCGUGUACCAGUUGUCGCGCCAGCGGCAUUGCUGGGUAGCGAUCUGCGCAUCGGAUAACCGCUGAAAGCAUCUAAGUGGGAAGCCGACCUCAAGAUAAGAUAUCCCUUCCGCUUAGCGGAACUGAAGGCUCCUUCGAGACCAGGAGGUUGAUAGGCUGCAGGUGUAAGCCCUGUAAGGGGUUCAGCCGAGCAGUACUAAUAAGCCGUGAGGCUUGAUCGA
rnacentral:ncRNA from 1 species